CAAACUAUAGCUUAGUUAAAGCAUCUUGCUUACACCAAGAAGACGUCUUCUAAACAGGACUGUUUUGAAUUUAUUUAG
rnacentral:tRNA from 1 species